UCCAAGAAACUUAACUCUUAGCAAAUCAAUAGCAAAAAUCUACACAUAAUUAGUACAAAAGGUAAAUAUUUCACAUAUUUAUGCCUUAAUAACAAAUAGAAGUCUAAAAGUAAGUAUCUAUGUUCUUUUUUUUUUGAACGACCAACACAAACUCUUUCAUUUCACAAUCCAACACUGGUAUAAUGACACCAUUUGAAAUACACCAAGAAAACAUUACGUACUAAUCAACUACCCCAUACAAUCAAGAUUAAAAGAUUUCCACCUAUCCCACGUUAACGAAUUACACUUUGAACGAUGUAGCUCAUCGACUUAAUUUCCCCGAUAACCUUAAAAACUGAUGGUCGUAUUUGUUUAAAAACUGUUUCAUUUCGUGCCCUCCAGAUACUCCAAAAACCUGUUAGUAUCACCGCAUUGAAUGCUUUCUUUCUAAACUUUGAUCCCCGGGCGACCUCAUGUAGAUUUAGCAAAUCAUUAACAGUAAACGCGAAUAUAGGAGGUACAUUACACCAUAAACUUACCUGACUCCAAAUUGUUUGAGAAAAGCUACAACAGUUGAACAGGUGUUCACAAUCCUCUUGGUAGUUUUCACAACAAACACAUACCGACAAAUCAAGGGUGAUGUUCCGCUUGGCAAGAGCUUCUGCGGUUGGAAGUCGAUUUAAACUUGCUCUCCAUCCAACUAUACGAACUUUCAUUGGUACCCAAUUAUUCCAGAAGAAUUGCAUAUUGUGUUGUGACCUGUUUAAAACUUUGAAGAUAAUAUUUGAGGUUUUUAACUGAAAAUGUUGAAUCUCCACCCAAAGCCCAAAACCAGGAAUCUGAUCUUUGGGAAAUAACAACAGAGCCAAGCAUAACUGACAGCUGGUUCAAGUCAUGCUGUUCCUCAACCGACAAGGGACCAUGUCGCCAUACUCAACAAAAGGACUGGAUGUGUUGAUAUAUGGUUAGUUUUUUCCCGAAAAAUAUCCUUUGUAGCUUGCAACACCCUUAGGACUGGAUCCAUUGAGGUAUGGUAGUUCUUUUUUUGAACAAGGUCUGUUGUAGCUUGCAAGACAGGGUCAUGUGUGGUACACUGGUACUAAUUAUUAAACCAUAUGUUUCGAUUAUGAUACUCUCUUAGGACUGGAUGCAUGAAUAUAUCGCAGAUUUGUUUCCAAAUAGGUCUGCAAGACCACUCAUGUGUGGUACUAAUUGUUGAACCAUUGAAAUGCAAAGAAUUAAAGAUGAAUUGUAUCUAUUA